CCUCGGCCCGCAGCCCUGCUCCGCCAGGGCGGGCGCUUCCGGCUCCGGGUCUCCACCACUUCCGCUCCAGCGUCUGCGCGCAGAGCCCACAAUUGGAACCAGAGGAAGAAAAUGCCUCCUUCAAGUGGAGAACACUCUCUUCAGCCUACUUUCCAUCCCAUUUUCACAGUGACAGAUGGAUACUGAAUUGGCUGUCUGACUAAACACAUAAAAAUAAGAAAAAAUACCAAAUUUUUAAAUAACCAAGAUCUGAUUCAGGAGACUUGCUUGAAUUGCUUACACAGACACAAUGUUCAGAUUCACAAAACUACUUGCACAAAGUGAGGACCAAGUAAGCUCCUUGGAAUGCAAGAAGGAACCUGUCAAACACGGGCGGACUGGGAAGAAAUAUGGGAGAGGCCACCUUGUUACCGCUUA